rnacentral:rRNA from 1 species
UGAGUAACCUGCCCUUGACUCUGGGAUAAGCGUUGGAAACGACGUCUAAUACCGGAUACGAGCUUCAGUCGCAUGACUAGGAGCUGGAAAGAACUUCGGUCAAGGAUGGACUCGCGGCCUAUCAGCUAGUUGGUGAGGUAACGGCCCACCAAGGCGACGACGGGUAGCCGGCCUGAGAGGGUGACCGGCCACACUGGGACUGAGACACGGCCCAGACUCCUACGGGAGGCAG